rnacentral:rRNA from 1 species
UACCAGCCCCCUGAGUGGUAAGGACGAUUAUUUGGCUUAAAGCGUCCGUAGCCGGCUUAGUGAGUCUCUUGUUAAAUCCAAUGAUUCAAUCAUUGAACUGCAAGAGAUACUACUAUGCUAGAGGACGGGAGAGGUCGACGGUAGUCCAAGGGUAGGGGUGAAAUCCUAUAAUCCUUGGAGGACCACCAGUGGCGAAGGCGGUCGACUAGAACGUGCCUGACGGUGAGGGACGAAAGCUGGGGGAGCGAACCGGAUUAGAUACCCGGGUAGUCCCAGCUGUAAACGAUGCGGGCUAGGUGUAGGGGCAGCUACGAGCUGCUCCUGUGCCGCAGAGAAAUUGUUAAGCCCGCCGCCUGGGGAUACGAUCGCAAGAUUGAAACUUAAAGGAAUUGGCGGGGGAGCACCACAAGGGGUGAAGGCUGCGGUUU